AAUGAACGCUGGCGGCAUGCCUAACACAUGCAAGUCGAACGAAGCCUUCGGGCUUAGUGGCGCACGGGUGCGUAACGCGUGGGAAUCUGCCCUUGGGUUCGGAAUAACAGUGGGAAACUACUGCUAAUACCGAAUGAUGUCGUAAGACCAAAGAUUUAUCGCCCAGGGAUGAGCCCGCGUAGGAUUAGCUAGUUGGUGUGGUAAAAGCGCACCAAGGCGACGAUCCUUAGCUGGUCUGAGAGGAUGAUCAGCCACACUGGGACUGAGACACGGCCCAGACUCCUACGGGAGGCAGCAGUGGGGAAUAUUGGACAAUGGGCGAAAGCCUGAUCCAGCAAUGCCGCGUGAGUGAUGAAGGCCUUAGGGUUGUAAAGCUCUUUUACCCGGGAUGAUAAUGACAGUACCGGGAGAAUAAGCUCCGGCUAACUCCGUGCCAGCCGCCGCGGUAAU
rnacentral:rRNA from 1 species